UCAGGAGCCUGAAGGAGAAGAUCCUCAUAGUGGAGGGAACGCCAAUGCGGUGGAUGACGUUGUUCUUCAACGGGACGGAAAUGGAGGAUGAUUUCCAGAGUUUGAACGAGUACGGAGUGGGGGGAGAGGGUUAAACUAAAGUUUAUCACAUAGGUGCUGUCAUCCCAAACAAACAAGCAAAUGUGCAGCAAACCUCUGUAGCUGAAUUUAUGAUCUGCUUGUGGGGUCUCGUGUGCUGAUCAUAUUAAUAAGUUAACCUCAUUUUACGUAGUCUGGCCUUUGUGUGAGCAUCAUUAUUCAAUCACUCAACAAUUCGUGAGGGGGUGUUCUUCCCGGGGCGCACAAAGGCGGACAAAUAUUUACGGAUGAAGAAGAAAAUAUCUGAUUUAACACAGGAAAAAUUUAUCGUCGUCCUCAUCUUCCACCUCCAGUCUUUUUACAUCCCACAGUUACUUUCUCAUGUUGCUUUAUGCAGAUAAUAAUUAAUUUCAGUUCUUACGAUUUCAGAGCGCAUUUUCCGUAAGCAUGAUGCUCUUUUGUUUUUACUGCAUGCCACACAUUCAAUUAAAAGCAGGCAAUUAAUAGCUUCAAGCAAUAGCACUGUGAAAGAAUGAGCUCUAAAAUGGGGAAAAUUGGCAUUCAUUAUCAGGGUCAUCCAUGAUGCCUCCUUAAUGCAUCAUUCUAAACUUACAUUGCCAGCUCAAGGUGAUCUUACGAGGGAAAGAAUUUUUAAGUGCAUCGUUGAUAUUUCCUCGAAAGUGUUCUUCUAUUUGGUUUAUUGUUUUUAGUUUAUUGUUUGGUACAAAUUGCUAUAGAUGGGUGGUUCUUUUGACGCUAAUAUGUUGGAUUUUUUUUAUAGGCUCCGUUGUUUCAAUUCUUGAUAAUUUGGAACCAUUGCUCCUAAUCAAAACGACUGUUAGAUUUCUUAGGGCCUCGUUUGGGAACAUUCGAUAGAGCUUCA